rnacentral:rRNA from 1 species
UACAGAGGUCUCAAGCGUUGUUCGGAUUCAUUGGGCGUAAAGGGUGUGUAGGUGGCGCGCUAAGUCGGGGUGUGAAAUUUCGGAGCUUAACUCCGAAACUGGCAUUCGAUACUGGCGUGCUUGAGGACUGGAGAGGGAGACUGGAAUUCAUGGUGUAGCAGUGAAAUGCGUAGAGAUCAUGAGGAAGACCAGUGGCGAAGGCGGGUCUCUGGGCAGUAACUGACGCUGAGGAGC